rnacentral:rRNA from 1 species
UACGGAAGGCAACAGUGGGGAAUAUUGCACAAUGGGCGCAAGCCUGAUGCAGCCAUGCCGCGUGUAUGAAGAAGGCCUUCGGGUUGUAAAGUACUUUCAGUCGUGAGGAAGGUGUUAAGGUUAAUAACCUUAGCAAUUGACGUUAGCGACAGAAGAAGCACCGGCUAACUCCGUGCCAGCAGCCGCGGUAAUACGGAGGGUGCGAGCGUUAAUCGGAAUUACUGGGCGUAAAGGGCACGCAGGCGGUUAAUUAAGUUGGAUGUGAAAUCCCCGGGCUUAACCUGGGAAUGGCAUUCAAGACUGGUUAGCUAGAGUCUUGUAGAGGGGGUAGAAUUCCAUGUGUAGCGGUGAAAUGCGUAGAGAUGUGGAGGAAUACCGGUGGCGAAGGCGGCCCCUGGACAAAGACUGACGCUCAUGUGCGAAAGCGUGGGGAGCAAACAGGGAUUAGAUACC